GAUGAACGCUAGCGGGAGGCUUAACACAUGCAAGUCAAGGGGCAGCAUAGAGUAGCAAUACUUUGAUGGCGACCGGCGCACGGGUGAGUAACGCGUAUGUAACCUACCCUGUACAGGGGGAUAGCCCGGAGAAAUUCGGAUUAAUACCCCAUAAUGAUAUCGAGAGGCAUCUUUUGAUAUUUAAAGCUUCGGCGGUACGGGAUGGGCAUGCGUGACAUUAGCUAGUUGGUAAGGUAACGGCUUACCAAGGCUGCGAUGUCUAGGGGUCCUGAGAGGGUGAUCCCCCACACUGGUACUGAGACACGGACCAGACUCCUACGGGAGGCAGCAGUGAGGAAUAUUGGUCAAUGGGCGUAAGCCUGAACCAGCCAUCCCGCGUGAAGGAAGAAGGCCUUCUGGGUUGUAAACUGCUUUUCUACGGGAAGAAACACUCCCUGCGGGGGGCAUUGACGGUACUGUAGGAAUAAGCACCGGCUAACUCCGUGCCAGCAGCCGCAGUAAUAC
rnacentral:rRNA from 1 species